UACGUAGGUGGCAAGCGUUGUCCGGAUUUAUUGGGCGUAAAGCGAGCGCAGGCGGUUCCUUAAGUCUGAUGUGAAAGCCCACGGCCCAACCGUGGAAGGUCAUUGGAAACUGGGGAACUUGAGUGCAGAAGAGGAGAGUGGAAUUCCAUGUGUAGCGGUGAAAUGCGUAGAUAUAUGGAGGAACACCAGUGGCGAAGACGACUCUCUGGUCUGUAACUGACGCUGAGGCUCGAAAGCGUGGGGAGCAAACAGGAUUAGAUAU
rnacentral:rRNA from 1 species